rnacentral:rRNA from 1 species
UACGUAGGGACCAAGCGUUGUUCGGAUUUACUGGGCGUAAAGGGCGCGUAGGCGGCUUGACAAGUCACUUGUGAAAUCUCCGGGCUUAACUCGGAACGGCCAAGUGAAACUGUCAUGCUAGAGUGCAGAAGGGGCAAUCGGAAUUCUUGGCGUAGCGGUGAAAUGCGUAGAUAUCAAGAGGAACACCUGAGGUGAAGACGGGUUGCUGGGCUGACACUGACGCUGAGGCGCGAAAGCCAGGGGAGCAAACGGG